GACGAACGCUGGCGGCGUGCCUAAUACAUGCAAGUCGAACGCAUUUUCUUUCACCGUAGCUUGCUACACCGAAAGAAAAUGAGUGGCGAACGGGUGAGUAACACGUGGGUAACCUGCCCAUCAGCGGGGGAUAACACUUGGAAACAGGUGCUAAUACCGCAUAAUUCCAUUUACUGCAUGGUAGAUGGAUGAAAGGCGCUUUUGCGUCACUGAUGGAUGGACCCGCGGUGCAUUAGCUAGUUGGUGGGGUAACGGCCUACCAAGGCUGCGAUGCAUAGCCGACCUGAGAGGGUGAUCGGCCACACUGGGACUGAGACACGGCCCAGACUCCUACGGGAGGCAGCAGUAGGGAAUCUUCGGCAAUGGACGCAAGUCUGACCGAGCAACGCCGCGUGAGUGAAGAAGGGUGUCGGAUCGUAAAACUCUGUUGUUAGAAAAGAACAAGGAUGAGAGUGGAAAGUUCAUCCCUUGACGGUAGCUAACCAGAAAGCCACGGCUAACUACGUG
rnacentral:rRNA from 1 species